CCGAGUCUCCGACCCCCCCUUCCUCCGCUCUCUCCUCGCCUUCCACCCUCACUUCCUCGUCUCGCCUCUCGUUCAUGCUCCCUUCCUUCGCCGACGACACCAUCGCACGACAAGUCGUCCAUCUCAUUUCUGCUCUCUGUGAAUCAGCCGCUGCCUCGCUCUCUGCUGACUUCGUCGCUAGGGUUUCCUUCUGCCUCUCUUCUGGUGCCUUGGCCUGGAGUCGCCGUCAGCUUUAUACGCUAUUGCACUUGUCUCUAGAGGCGCUCAUGAAGACCCAAAGCGAUGAUGUCCGCUUGAAUUAUGUAGCAUUCUUGACAGUGUUGGCUAGGGAGGACUUUUCGGGGCUGCAUAUACAGUUGAUUUAAACACCAUGAGUUCAUCCGAAGGAGACAACUUUGAGCAAGCAACAGAAGAUUUUAAAGAUGGGAAUCCAAUGAAUAUAUUGUUUACGGAGGCCAUCAAAGGCCCACUGCUUUCAAAGGACAGCCAAGUCCAGAUCAGCACACUGGAUCUACUGUUUCAUUACAUGUCCUCCUGGGAAGGCACUUCAGGCAAAGAAACCCAAUUCCUAGUGGAAGAGAACAUUGCAGAAUAUGUAUUUGAAAUACUAAGAUUGUCAGAAUGCAAGGAUCCAGUGGUCAAAUCUUGUGUUCAGGUACUUGACUUGUUAUCAAAAGCUGACCAAGCUUUCAAACGGAGGCUUGUUGUUGGGUUUGCAACUUUGGUGCCAGAACUCCAUCUGUUCAUGGGAAUUUGAAUCUACAAAUUUCAAUUAAAGAAGCAAUGCAACAUGCUGUAUUAGCUUGUCUAAGUAUCUCGGAGAAGAAUCCUUGUCAACUUUUGCAUUCCUUGUUCCUACUUAAGGAGGCCUAUAAUCAUGAAGGAAAUUCUACUGACUCCACUGAAGUGGAACUACGACAAUUUAUUGUGAAUGUCUGUACAAAACAUUUGUUACCUUGGUUUGGAACCAACUUCAGUGAAAUGGAUGAGGAAACUGUCCUUGGAAUAUUGGAAACAUUUCAUUCGAUACUGCUUCAGGAUUCCAACAAUCAAGCAGCAGAACUUGCAGAGAACCUAGUUUCGAGCAGUUGGUUCAGUUUGUCGUUCGGAUGCCUAGGCUUAUUUCCCAUAGAAAAGAUGAAAUGGAGGGUGUAUCUGAUGCUCAGUUCACUGGUAGAUGUUCUUAUGGGAAAUGAUUCUGGGCAACCUAUUAGAGAUGCUACUUUAUGUCUCCCAUCUGAUCCCAUUGAUUUGCUCUUUCUACUUGGGCAAAAGAACUCCCGUAAUCUGGAAUUAUCUUCUUGCCAAUCUGCCAUUUUGCUGAUUUUAUACACCUGUUCUUUAUAUGAUGAAGGACUUGCAGAUGAUAAGUUGGUUUUAGCUUCUCUAGAGCAAUAUAUUCUGAUCAACAGUAGUGAUCUCCAAGGUGGAUCCACUGAUCUAUCCACAGUGACGAGGCUGGUUUAUCUUUAUGGUCUAGGGUUUAGGGAAAGAACAGUCAUAUGGUAAAUGUUAAUUCAAUUGCAGAAUUAAUAGCAGGAGGAGAUAAUCAUGGAUCAACACUUUUGGUGUUCUUAUUGACACAACUUCUGCCUAUCAAUGAUCUUGGGUUGGGGAUUGCUGGAAAUGCAAGGGACAAGUGUGACUACAAAGAAUAAUUGGAGUAGGAUGAUUGUGGAAGAGCUGGCGAUGUCUUUAGCAGUCCCAUGCCUAGCAUCAAAAAAUUUCAUUAAUCUUCACAAGCCUGUAAUUCAUGUAGCAGUUACAUUGUUAAAGCUGCCGAAGGUUCUUGAGUGGAUGAGAUCGGUGUUUGAUGAUUCUUGCAUAUCUGGCAUCAGUCAAAACCUUGCAGAAAAUAAUUUGAGCACAGAGAUUGUACUUUUAUUUCGAGCUCUACUGAAGUCUGAUGACUUAAAGGCGGAGCAAUUUUCUAUGCCAUGCACUUUUCUGUUCUGUUGAUUUUGUUCGUGUGCUUUAAGGAACUAAAAUGAGGUUUCCUUUUUUAAUACUUCAAACCUGAAAAUGGGUCGUUAUACUUCUGUCCAAUUUGUUUUAGAAUGAAACACUGGCCGAUGGACUUUCCUUAAAUUUUAGCCUUGGUCAUUUCAGGCAGCAUAUUAAAAAGAGGGACAAUGCAGUUAUUUUACACAUUGCAGGCCUGCAGAAAACAGAAGUACACUGACAACAGUCAAGAUGAAAGUGCAAAAGAGCAUAAAUAAAUAAAUAAAAGCGCGGUCGCCAUCCUGGAUGACA